rnacentral:rRNA from 1 species
UACGUAGGGUGCGAGCGUUGUCCGGAAUUAUUGGGCGUAAAGGGCUCGUAGGCGGUCUUUUGUGUCGGGAGUGAAAAUCCGGGGCUCAACCCCGGACUUGCAGUGGGUACGGGCAGACUAGAGUUCGGUAGGGGAGACUGGAAUUCCUGGUGUAGCGGUGAAAUGCGCAGAUAUCAGGAGGAACACCGGUGGCGAAGGCGGGUCUCUGGGCCGAUACUGACGCUGAGGAGCGAAAGCGUGGGGAGCGAACAGG